GAUGAACGCUGGCGGCGUGCCUAAUACAUGCAAGUCGAGCGAACGGACGAGAAGCUUGCUUUUCUGAUGUUAGCGGCGGACGGGUGAGUAACACGUGGAUAACCUACCUAUAAGACUGGGAUAACUUCGGGAAACCGGAGCUAAUACCGGAUAAUAUUUUGAACCGCAUGGUUCAAAAGUGAAAGACGGUCUUGCUGUCACUUAUAGAUGGAUCCGCGCUGCAUUAGCUAGUUGGUAAGGUAACGGCUUACCAAGGCAACGAUGCAUAGCCGACCUGAGAGGGUGAUCGGCCACACUGGAACUGAGACACGGUCCAGACUCCUACGGGAGGCAGCAGUAGGGAAUCUUCCGCAAUGGGCGAAAGCCUGACGGAGCAACGCCGCGUGAGUGAUGAAGGUCUUCGGAUCGUAAAACUCUGUUAUUAGGGAAGAACAUAUGUGUAAGUAACUGUGCACAUCUUGACGGUACCUAAUCAGAAAGCCACGGCUAACUACGUGCCAGCAGCCGCGGUAAUACGUAGGUGGCAAGCGUUAUCCGAAAUUAUUGGGCGUAAAGCGCGCGUAGGCGGUUUUUUAAGUCUGAUGUGAAAGCCCACGGCUCAACCGUGGAGGGUCAUUGGAAACUGGAAAACUUGAGUGCAGAAGAGGAAAGUGGAAUUCCAUGUGUAGCGGUGAAAUGCGCAGAGAUGUGGAGGAACACCAGUGGCGAAGGCGACUUUCUGGUCUGUAACUGACGCUGAUGUGCGAAAGCGUGGGGAUCAAACAGGAUUAGAUACCCUGGUAGUCCACGCCGUAAACGAUGAGUGCUAAGUGUUAGGGGGUUUCCGCCCCUUAGUGCUGCAGCUAACGCAUUAAGCACUCCGCCUGGGGAGUACGACCGCAAGGUUGAAACUCAAAGGAAUUGACGGGGGCCCGCACAAGCGGUGGAGCAUGUGGUUUAAUUCGAAGCAACGCGAAGAACCUUACCAAAUCUUGACAUCCUUUGACAACUCUAGAGAUAGAGCCUUCCCCUUCGGGGGGCAAAGUGACAGGUGGUGCAUGGUUGUCGUCAGCUCGUGUCGUGAGAUGUUGGGUUAAGUCCCGCAACGAGCGCAACCCUUAAGCUUAGUUGCCAUCAUUAAGUUGGGCACUCUAAGUUGACUGCCGGUGACAAACCGGAGGAAGGUGGGGAUGACGUCAAAUCAUCAUGCCCCUUAUGAUUUGGGCUACACACGUGCUACAAUGGACAAUACAAAGGGCAGCGAAACCGCGAGGUCAAGCAAAUCCCAUAAAGUUGUUCUCAGUUCGGAUUGUAGUCUGCAACUCGACUACAUGAAGCUGGAAUCGCUAGUAAUCGUAGAUCAGCAUGCUACGGUGAAUACGUUCCCGGGUCU
rnacentral:rRNA from 1 species